GGCUGGUCCAAAGGCAGUGAGUUAUCUCACUUGAUUGUUCAGAGUCACAGAUUGAACUCCUUGUUCUACUUUUCCCCCUACUCACUAGUGCACUUGAUUAGUCUUAA
rnacentral:Y_RNA from 1 species